AUUUGCUGAAGCGAGGCCAUCUGGUCACGACUCAGUACCCGAAUUUCUUGACGACCAUAGAGCGUUGGAACCACCUGAUCCCAUCCCGAACUCAGUAGUGAAACGAUGCAUCGCCGAUGGUAGUGUGGGGUUUCCCCAUGUGAGAGUAGGUCAUCGUCAAGA
rnacentral:rRNA from 1 species